CAUUGCUUUCUCAAAGAGUGUUAAGGAGUUCUGAGUCUGGAAUGGCUUUCCAUAAAGCUGAUCUGGCCAGCUUUUUUGCCUAAUGAAGUAAAGACAGAAGUGCCAGUUUGACUCAUGCCCUCAUUGCUUUCUUCAGAUUCUGCUUCAAUAAAGACAGAUGCAAGCCAGCUUGGGUCUGGUGUCUCUCCUGUUUAGGGUGAGUGAUAAACCACAUCUCAGCAGACUUGCUUUCCUCUCACUGUGCAGAAUCCCAGUAAAUUAGCAAGGUUGGGAAGAAAGCUUGUUUAUCUGUCUUUGUCCUGCUUCACACAUCUGUGGGAUGGGUCUUGUCUCAGACAUGAGACUGAAACUUAUUUGAGAGUGAAGGCCAUAAUGUUUAGGAUUAUUUCAAAAACAGCAUCACACAGUGAUCAGAACAAUUAGCAGCUUUGAGGCUCAAAAGGUAGUAAAAUGAACUUCACUACCUUUUUGAAAAGGCUUCAUUUAGAGACUGAGAGGAAGAAAAUGUUUUGAACUGAAAGAUUUCAGUCUUUUAGAGGUUUUCCACAAUUUUGGAAGAGAGGCUGUUUUUCACCCUCAUUAAUAGUUUUUUAAUUCUGUUUUUUUUUGGUCAUAAAUUGAGUGAUUACCCUCAAAACCAGUAAACACAUAAGUCUGUAUUUCUUCAGGUUUUAAAAGGCUGGACCCCCUGGUUGUUUUAGCCUUCAGGGUGACAUCUCUUUUAUUGUGACUAAAAUAUUUUCAGUGAGGAGAAAUCAGUGACCUGGGUACCAUGUAGCAUCUUUAUGCUUGAAGGCAAAGCAGACUUUUGGUAUACUUGCAGACAGGAGGUGUCAGGCAGAAACUGGCUUUUUUUUGGUGCCUUGACAUAAUUGAAAAGUCACAGCAGACUAGCUAAAAGGUGUAUGUAAUUCAAAUUAACAAAAUUCCUCCACUGCUCUCCAGAAAGGAUAUGCUCCCCAUGAAAAGCCUCAAAAAUAAGUCUGUUUAGCUGUGACUAACGGAUACAAACUGAAAAGUAGGAGUUCCCUCUGAACAUCAGGAAAGGCCUUCUCACUGCGAGAGUCACACAGCACUGGUAGAGUUUUCACAAAGGGAUUUUGGAGUCUCCCUGCUUGUAGAUAUUCAAAUGCGACCUGGACAUGUAUGUGGCCAGCUGGCUGUAGGUGGCCCAGUUUGAGCAAAGGACUGGAACCACAUGAUUUCCAGGGGUCCCUUCCAACAUCAGCUUUUCUGAAGAUGGCUUGAGACACCAUUCCCUGUUGGCAGAAAGGGGACUCUGAUUCCUGAGUGCAUCAAGACUGCCUGAGCCUGUGCAUAUUCUUCCUGCCUACAAGCUGUGCUAAUGGGUCUCAGAAAGUAGAAACAGUCCUUUUUGGAUGUUUGAGAUCAUCAGUGCAGUUAAGCAAUAGAAUUAGUAAGUGGAGAAGAGCAGCAAGUCCAUGCCAAAAAAUAAAUUUAAAAAAAUAAAGCUCAGUAUCUCUACGAAUGAAAAAUGGAAGAGUCAGAGGAACCCUUUACAGACACAGAUAUAAGGUAAGCACCUCUUGAAAGCCAGUGGGCUGUAGGGUUUUACUUUAUUACUGCAUUUGAAAAUCUCCAUUUUGAGCAAAGAAAAAUGGCAUCAGAAACUAAUCUUUGAAAAGAGACUGGGGUGUAGGAGGAUUGAAAAAACUAAGCACAAGGCAAGGGAUGGUGUUUACAAAGGAAGCUGGUUGUGUUUGGGAGCUGGUGGUGUUCAUUGUUUGAGGAGC